rnacentral:rRNA from 1 species
GUGAACGCUGGCGGUAGGCCUAACACAUGCAAGUCGAACGGCAGCACCGUAAGAGCUUGCUCUUACGGGUGGCGAGUGGCGGACGGGUGAGGAAUACAUCGGAAUCUACUUUUUCGUGGGGGAUAACGUAGGGAAACUUACGCUAAUACCGCAUACGACCUACGGGUGAAAGCAGGGGAUCUUCGGACCUUGCGCGAUUGAAUGAGCCGAUGUCGGAUUAGCUAGUUGGCGGGGUAAAGGCCCACCAAGGCGACGAUCCGUAGCUGGUCUGAGAGGAGGAUCAGCCACACUGGAACUGAGACACGGUCCAGACUCCUACGGGAGGCAGCAGUGGGGAAUAUUGGACAAUGGGCGCAAGCCUGAUCCAGCCAUACCGCGUGGGUGAAGAAGGCCUUCGGGUUGUAAAGCCCUUUUGUUGGGAAAGAAAAGCAGCAGGUUAAUACCCCGCUGUUCUGACGGUACCCAAAGAAUAAGCACCGGCUAACUUCGUG